rnacentral:rRNA from 1 species
UAGGGAAUCUUCCACAAUGGACGAAAGUCUGAUGGAGCAACGCCGCGUGUGUGAUGAAGGGUUUCGGCUCGUAAAACACUGUUGUAAGAGAAGAAUGACAUUGAGAGUAACUGUUCAAUGUGUGACGGUAUCUUACCAGAAAGGAACGGCUAAAUACGUUCCACG